rnacentral:rRNA from 1 species
AGAGUUUGAUCCUGGCUCAGGAUGAACGCUGGCGGCGUGCUUAACACAUGCAAGUCGAACGAACCUUCGGGUUAGUGGCGGACGGGUGAGUAACGCGUGAGAAUCUGCCCUCAGGAGGGGGAUAACGACUGGAAACGGUCGCUAAUACCCCAUAUGCCGAGAGGUGAAAUGAAUUUCGCCUGAGGAUGAGCUCGCGUCUGAUUAGCUAGUUGGUGGGGUAAAGGCCUACCAAGGCGACGAUCAGUAGCUGGUCUGAGAGGAUGAUCAGCCACACUGGGACUGAGACACGGCCCAGACUCCUACGGGAGGCAGCAGUGGGGAAUUUUCCGCAAUGGGCGAAAGCCUGACGGAGCAACGCCGCGUGAGGGAUGAAGGCCUCUGGGCUGUAAACCUCUUUUCUCAAGGAAGAAGAUCUGACGGUACUUGAGGAAUAAGCCACGGCUAAUUCCGUGCCAGCAGCCGCGGUAAUACGGGAGUGGCAAGCGUUAUCCGGAAUUAUUGGGCGUAAAGCGUCCGCAGGCGGCCUCGUAAGUCUGUCGUUAAAGCGUGGAGCUUAACUCCAUUUCAGCGAUGGAAACUACAAGGCUUGAGUGUGGUAGGGGCAGAGGGAAUUCCCGGUGUAGCGGUGAAAUGCGUAGAUAUCGGGAAGAACACCAGUGGCGAAGGCGCUCUGCUGGGCCAUAACUGACGCUCAUGGACGAAAGCCAGGGGAGCGAAAGGGAUUAGAUACCCCUGUAGUCCUGGCCGUAAACGAUGAACACUAGGCGUCG